rnacentral:lncRNA from 1 species
CCAGCGCAGGCACUAAUAACACGGGCUACACACAAACCUCGUGUUCACCUCUAGGCCCACGUCUGCCAGACCUUUCAAGCCAGAGAAUAACCCUCCUGCUCGAGAUCACAACCUUUGCUCAGCCACUUGAAGCACUCGCUCCUGCUACCCGACUGCUGGAGAAAGGGUGAAUUCACAGAAAUGGCUCAGGGAAAGAAUCCUUGAGACAAGAACCCACAAUCAGAGCAUGUUUAAAAAUUCAGAUUUCCACAUCGUUCAAAUUAAAAAUAUGAAGAUGAAUACAUGAACUGAUCUCAAUUUCUGCAGCGAAGAA